rnacentral:rRNA from 1 species
CCUACGGGGGGCAGCAGUGGGGAAUAUUGGACAAUGGGCGAAAGCCUGAUCCAGCCAUGCCGCGUGUGUGAAGAAGGCCUUCGGGUUGUAAAGCACUUUCAGUGGGGAAGAAAGCCUUGGGGCUAAUACCCUCGAGGAAGGACAUCACCCACAGAAGAAGCACCGGCUAACUCCGUGCCAGCAGCCGCGGUAAUACGGAGGGUGCGAGCGUUAAUCGGAAUUACUGGGCGUAAAGCGCGCGUAGGCGGUCUGAUAAGCCGGUUGUGAAAGCCCCGGGCUCAACCUGGGAACGGCAUCCGGAACUGUCAGGCUAGAGUGCAGGAGAGGAAGGUAGAAUUCCCGGUGUAGCGGUGAAAUGUGUAGAGAUCGGGAGGAAUACCAGUGGCGAAGGCGGCCUUCUGGACUGACACUGACGCUGAGGUGCGAAAGCGUGGGUAGCAAACAGGAUUAGAUACCCGGGUAGUC